AAACUUGAGUGCAGAAGAGGACAGUGGAACUCCAUGUGUAGCGGUGAAAUGCGUAGAUAUAUGGAAGAACACCAGUGGCGAAGGCGGCUGUCUGGUCUGUAACUGACGCUGAGGCUCGAAAGUAUGGGUAGCAAACAGGAUUAGAUACCCUGGUAGUCCAUACCGUAAACGAUGAAUGCUAAGUGUUGGAGGGUUUCCGCCCUUCAGUGCUGCAGCUAACGCAUUAAGCAUUCCGCCUGGGGAGUACGGCCGCAAGGCUGAAACUCAAAGGAAUUGACGGGGGCCCGCACAAGCGGUGGAGCAUGUGGUUUAAUUCGAAGCUACGCGAAGAACCUUACCAGGUCUUGACAUACUAUGCAAAUCUAAGAGAUUAGACGUUCCCUUCGGGGACAUGGAUACAGGUGGUGCAUGGUGGUCGUCAGCUCGUGUCGUGAGAUGUUGGGUUAAGUCCCGCAACGAGCGCAACCCUUAUUAUCAGUUGCCAGCAUUAAGUUGGGCACUCUGGUGAGACUGCCGGUGACAAACCGGAGGAAGGUGGGGAUGACGUCAAAUCAUCAUGCCCCUUAUGACCUGGGCUACACACGUGCUACAAUGGAUGGUACAACGAGUUGCGAACUCGCGAGAGUAAGCUAAUCUCUUAAAGCCAUUCUCAGUUCGG
rnacentral:rRNA from 1 species